CUCUCUUGUUCUUACUUUUCCUCUUUUUGAUGAGUGUAUACUUCCAACCAAUAUUAUGCUAUGUUCUGCUAUUCUGCAGGUGGGGUUUGUCACGCCAUUUCUAUCAUGUAUCGGACAUAUUAGGAGCCUUCUUCUAGAGCGUCCCAACCCUUUUCUACCAUUAAGCAUUUGUAGUUUAAACUGCUCUCCCACAGUACUUUCAUGAAUUCUCCGUGUUAACUAUCUCAAUUCUUUUAAGGUUUUCUGUCCUCUGCAGUUUCUGCCUAGCAGUUCUACUCAUAUUACUGAACAUCCUAAUGUUUGACCGAUCCAAAACAGAUGACAUUCGGAGCCGAUCCAAGUACUAGAGAUACUGGAAACUCUAUUGGUGAGAAGAUGCCUGAUGGAUCUCCUGACGUUCACAGAAGAAAUCUUCUCACAGAUCUUCAGAUUUAGGGCUCGGUUGCGCUUACUCAGCUUCUAGCUUUUGCUCAAUCACCUUGGAAAGGGCUUGUCCAUCAAUUCCCCGGUUCCUUUCUAGGCCAAACUUCUACUACUAUAGCAUUCUGCGAGAUGCUCUGGCUUAUGUUGUGUCAGUGGACUAUCGCACUCAUCGGAUUGCCGAUCCAUAAGAUGUACAAAGCCUUUGAUAAAGAGAUUGAAGUGGCAAGCCUGUGUCGACAAGGUUAUAUGUUUAUAUCCAAUAAUUGAUGUGUGACCUUCUA